CGUAUAAUAGAAAGGUCUCUCCACAAAACCCGGGGAAGAUAGAUUAAAGGUGCGUAGGAGGAUCUAGAGACAAAGAGAACAUUCAGGGUUACUGAAUGUACAGAAAAGGAUGAUGGUUCUUGAACAAGUGAGUAAGGAUUUGGGAGAUAUUUAGGAAGCAGAUUCACAAUACUGAGCUUUCAUUAGAGAGAGGGUAGAGGCAAUGGAAGAAUGUAAUAUGACUCACAGCAAUCUAGUCUGGUUGUGCCAGUCAUGGACAACAGCAGUAUAGGUGCAGUGGCUUUGGGGGAAAGAAUGAAUUAUAGUUUAGAGAUGCUUGGAAGUCACUAAUGUGUAAACGUAUAAAAGACAAGUGUAUAUAUAGGUCUGGAACUAAAAAUAAGUCUUGGCUGGAGAUAAAUAAUUGAGGAUUAUUUGCAUUUUCAUGGAGAGCAGACCAUGAAACAUUUACCAGUCCACACUGCAUGUGAUCCAAUCUUGGCCAUGGACCCUGGGCACAGUCUGCAUGGUUUCUCCUGGAGGGGGGCGGGUGUCCCCUUUGAUAAGAGAUACAAGAAGAGAUCCCACUACCAGUCUUUCUGCCUUUGGACUACAUUGAAUGAGGAAGUGAUGCCUUGGGAUGAAAGCUAACAUGGCAUCCAGAGCUGCUUCUCUGACCCUCUGGUUCUUGGCCCAGCUGAUAAGGAUCCAGUCCAUGAAUAAGUAAAUGGCUUCCUUCCAGUGGAGAGCUGACAGCUGGGAUUGAAACAAGAUCCAGAAUUCACCCUGCUGUUUCUCCAUGAGUCUGACCUGCAUCAACUGCCUCCCUUAUUCUGGGAUUCCAGUUGUGGAGCUCAAGGACAAGUCCAUUCUGGGCUGGCUGUAUCCAACUUCUUUAGUCCAACUAUAUCCCCACUGGAAGCCAGGCUCUUUCCAACAGCUGUCACCCAUGCCUCUUUCUAUGUUUGUUAUCUGUCUCUAGGUUCUGGUAACUACUUCCUUCCCUUGCCCCUUCUGGCCUAGGGUGCUACAAAUCCCUCCUCCAAAUCCAACUGUCACUAGCCUCAAAGUACUUGUAGCUUCCUCACCUUACUUUCACCUUAAUAAAUAGUCCCCCUACUAUCUCUCUUCAAAGCACCCAAUUUGAGUGUGCCAUCUGUUUCUUGCCAGGAUCCUGGUUGGUACAUCAACCAAGCUGCACAGAUGGAGGAGCACUGUGCUGAACUUUAGGAAUGAAGCCACAGGGCCCUCACUGCCCCCAUAGUCACGUUGGUCAUCUUCUGCCUCCCUGAAAGACUAAAUUCACUCAGUUCAGAUACAUACACAUCCAGACAUGUCAGGGAAAACUCCAUUUUGUAAGGAUCUCUGCUUAAAAUGCCAAAGGUUUGAAAGUUGGCAAACACUUGAGAAAAGCACAGUUCUCUGUCUUACUCUUACUCUAAACUUGGAGAUAUAUGCAUUUUUAAAAUUGUUCAUGUUAGAAUGCUAACGUGUACAAGAUCGUGCCUGGUGAGACACCACAAACAAUAUUUUAUGAGGCCAAAAUAAGAAAGAAGGAAAUGAAAUAGCUCAGGAAUCUCAGGAAGAGCUCAUCAAACACUUUGCCUUUAUCUCAGACCAUUUUAUCCACAGCCCUGCUAAUCAGGAUUGUAUAUACCUCCAUGAGGGAGUCUUAAACGGAGGGAAAGAGAUGCCACAACUAAAGAAAAGAAUGCAAUAGAAGUUUGUCUUGAUGCCUGUUCUGUGAUGCACAACUUUCGUAAGCCAAAAUUUUAACCUUAUGAACAAUCAGUUCUGUGCUGCCCUUAGCAGAGAACCAUAAAUUAAAGAUAAGCAAUGGUUCAGACUUUCCAGGGCCUUGACUCAGGAGUAACUCUGAAAUCCCAACCAAAUAUGUAUUUGGUUAAGCAAUUUGGCACAUUUUUCUAUUUUGAGGCAUUAAACUAUAAUUACAAGUCACUUUUAUUUCAUUCCAAAUAAAUCUCCCUAAAGUAGAUAGAACUAGAGGUUUCCUUUUUUAAAAAAAAGGAAACAGGAAAACAACAAACAAAACCAAAAAGAACAAAAGCAAAACAAAACUUAGUCAAGCUAACAAAUUGCAUGUAUGAUGUGUUUUAUAAUUUGAUCAAUAUGAAAAAUAGAGUGUGCUAGUGCCUCAGGAGGACUCAGAGGACUCAAAUACUCAAUAGGUUAUCUGGAGGAAUUUCUCAUUGGAGAAAAAAAUUAAAGUUCUUUUGAACAACCCACAUAAUCAAGAUAGUAAUAAUUUAACCUCAAGUUUUUCCUUGAUUAAAAAAUCCCUUUGCUAUUCUGCUCCAGUGUUUGUAAUAGAUGGUUCAACAAGACUGGUGUUUUGUUAGUUGGAAAAGUAAGCUGAUAUGAGGGGUGGGGAGAGGAAGGGCAGAAAUUUAUUAACAAUCAGCAAGUAAAGAAAAACAGCCUGCAAAUUGUAAUGAAAGGAAGAAAGGACAGGAAAGGAAAGGUAGGGCUGGUGGAGAGUGACUGUUCUGCCUGCUUACUGCACAGGCCAAGAACAAACUCACGAUAAAUACUCCAGGUCCUCAAGAAAAAGGUUUCUGUGCUGAAUUAUGGUAGUCUACCUGAAAUUGGGAUGAUGAAUUAGAAAACCUCUCUCAUCGCUUCAAGUCUUGUGAUUUAUUC
rnacentral:lncRNA from 1 species